UACGGAGGGUGCAAUCGGUAAUCGGAAUUACUGGGCGUAAAGCGCACGCAGGCGGUCUGUCAAGUGGGAUGGGAAAUCCCCGGGCUCAACCUGGGAACUGCAGCCGAAACUGGCAGGCUAGAGUGUUGGAGAGGGGGGUAGAAUUCCAGGUGUAGCGGUGAAAUGCGUAGAGAUCUGGAGGAAUACCGGUGGCGAAGGCGGCCCCCUGGACAAAGACUGACGCUCAGGUGCGAAAGCGCGGGGAGCAAACAGG
rnacentral:misc_RNA from 1 species